rnacentral:rRNA from 1 species
ACGUAGGGUGCGAGCGUUACUCGGAAUCACUGGGCGUAAAGGGCGUGCAGGCGGAUUUAUAAGUUAGAAGUGAAAUCCUCGGGCUUAACUUUGGAACUGCGUUUGGAACUAUUAGGCUAGAGUGUGGGAGAGGUAGAUAGAAUUUCUCGUGUAGGAGUGAAAUGCGUAGAGAUGAGGAGGAAUACCGAUUGCGAAGGCGGUCCACUGGAUUAAUACUGACGCUCAUACACGAAAGCGUGGGGAGCAAACAG